GAGGGGACAGCAUGCACAGAGAACUGGAGCUGUUGAAACCACGUGCUCACAGCCAGAGGACCACUGUGUGGUGUUGACUUAGGGCAAAGAGCCUGGAAAGGGAACUCAGGAGAGAAAGAACUUCUAAUGCAAGCAGGAUAUCUUUGGUUACCAACGACUAAGAACUGUGCAAUAGAAAAUAGUAGCCCUGAAGUUAAGAAGAUGGCCCACUCAAAAGAUCUGAUCACACCAAACACCCAAAAGA
rnacentral:lncRNA from 1 species